rnacentral:rRNA from 1 species
UACGAGGGGGGCUAGCGUUGCUCGGAAUCACUGGGCGUAAAGCGCACGUAGGCGGCUCUUUAAGUCAGAGGUGAAAUCCUGGGGCUCAACCCCAGAACUGCCUUUGAUACUGAGGAGCUUGAGUCCGGGAGAGGUGAGUGGAACUGCGAGUGUAGAGGUGAAAUUCGUAGAUAUUCGCAAGAACACCAGUGGCGAAGGCGGCUCACUGGCCCGGUACUGACGCUGAGGUGCGAAAGCGUGGGGAGCAAACAGG